rnacentral:sRNA from 1 species
CUUCCACCAGCUGCGGGCAGAUGAAGUGGAUGUGGGCGUCGAUCCCCCCGGCGGUGGCGAUCAGGCCCUCCCCGGCGAUGGCUUCGGUUCCCGGCCCCACCACCAGGUCCACGCCGGGCUGGGUGUCCGGAUUGCCGGCCUUGCCGAUGCCCAGGAUGCGACCGUCCUUGAUGCCGAUGUCGGCCUUAACCACCCCCCAGUGAUCGAGGAUCAAAGCGUUGGUGAUGACCACGUCGGCCACCUCGGCGGCGGGUUGUUGGCUCUGGCCCAUGCCGUCGCGGAU